AAACUCGUGCCAGCCACCGCGGUUAUACGAGAGACCCUAGUUGAUAGCCACGGCGUAAAGAGUGGUUAGGGACGCCUAACAAAUAAAGCCAAAGACCUCCCAAGCUGUUACACGCAUCUCGGAGGCGCGAAGCCCCGCUACGAAAGUGACUUUAAUUUUUUCCCGACGCCACGAAAGCUAAGAAACAAACU
rnacentral:rRNA from 1 species